UAAGGAAUAUUGGACAAUGGUCGCAAGACUGAUCCAGCCAUGCCGCGUGCAGGAAGACGGCCCUAUGGGUUGUAAACUGCUUUUGUACCAGAGAAAACCUAUCUACGUGUAGAUAGCUGAUAGUAUGGUAAGAAUAAGCAUCGGCUAACUUCGUGCCAGCAGCCGCGGUAAGACGAAGGAUGCAAGCGUUAUCCGGAUUUACUGGGUGUAAAGGGCGCGCAGGCGGGAUAAAAAGUCAGUGGUGAAAUCCUACAGCUUAACUGUAGAACUGCCUUUGAUACUUUUAUUCUUGAGUUCGGGAGAGAGAGACGGAAUUCCAGGUGUAGUGGUGAAAUACGUAGAUAUCUGGAAGAACACCAGUUGCGAAGGCGGUCUCUUGGUCCGACACUGACGCUGAGGCGCGAAAGCGUGGGGAGCAAACA
rnacentral:rRNA from 1 species